rnacentral:lncRNA from 1 species
AAUUUCUGGGGUUUUAACUUUAAUAGUUGUUGUUGUUGUUGUUGGUUUUUUUAUUUAUUUAUUUUUUUUUGUGGUUUUGGAUCAACUACAGUAAACCCCUCAACCUAUAGCGGUUAUUAUAAACUCAUACCCAACCUUUGUUGAUUCGUUUGACCAGCACAUGAACUUUGUGAAACCUUUCAUAAAACAACCUCCGUUACUAAGUCCGUUAGGGACCUCAUUAAGUGAUGAGGUGGUGCUAUCAACAUGGUUGUUUUUAUAAAAUUAAAAAAAAAAAUUUAUGACAUGGAGCAAUUUAAAUGGUCACCAUGGUAGCUCAAAGUUGGAGGUUGCCACGUCGGAUUCGAGCUCAAAUGCAGCUGCAUGUGUUACCAUCCCCAAAGACGAUGAAGCCCUAAUCCUCAAAUGAAACCCAAAUCUUCUAUUCCUCUAUAGAGUACAGAAAAAAUAACAGUUCAACCUAUAGCGGUUAUUAUAAACUCAUACCCAACCUUUGUUGAUUCGUUUGACCAGCACAUGAACUUUGUGAAACCUUUCAUAAAACAACCUCCGUUACUAAGUCCGUUAGGGACCUCAUUAAGU